rnacentral:ribozyme from 1 species
UGUCCAGCAACUCCUAUCCCUACCUCCACGUGGCACCGGUCGGACUGCGAACAACCUUAGGGAAGAUCGGGUAACCAUCCCCGGUGGGAACUUUGGUCGUAGGCAGACAGGGAAGG